CGGGGUGCAGCAGGCGCGAAAACUCUACAAUGCAGGCAACUGCGAUAGGGGAACAUCGAGUGGUCCUCAUAUUGGGGGCCUGUCCUCCCGCCUAAAAAGCGGGAGUUAGCAAGGGCCGGGCAAGACCGGUGCCAGCCGCCGCGGUAAUACCGGCGGCUCGAGUGGUGGCCGAUAUUAUUGAGUCUAAAGGGUCCGUAGCCGGCUUUGCAAGUCUCUCGGGAAAUCCAGCGGCUUAACCGUUGGUCGUCCGGGGGGUACUACAUUGCUUGGGACUGGGAGAGGUAGGAGGUACUCAGGGGGUAGGAGUGAAAUCCUGUAAUCCUUUGGGGACCACCGGUGGCGAAGGCGUCCUACCAGAACAGGUCCGACGGUGAGGGACGAAAGCUAGGGGCACGAACCGGAUUAGAUACCCGGGUAGUCCUAGCCGUAAACGAUGCUCGCUAGGUGUCACAACAGUCGUGAACUGUUGUGGUGCCGUAGGGAAGCCGUGAAGCGAGCCACUUGGGAAGUACGACCGCAAGGUUGAAACUUAAAGGAAUUGGCGGGGGAGCACAAGGGCGAAUGCG
rnacentral:rRNA from 1 species